GAUGAACGCUCGCUACAGGCUUAACACAUGCAAGUCGAGGGGCAGCAUGGUCUUAGCUUGCUAAGGCCGAUGGCGACCGGCGCACGGGUGAGUAACACGUAUCCAACCUGCCGUCUACUCUUGGACAGCCUGCUGAAAGGAAGAUUAAUACAAGAUGGCAUCAUGAGUCCGCAUGUUCACAUGAUUAAAGGUAUUCCGGUAGACGAUGGGGAUGCGUUCCAUUAGAUAGUAGGCGGGGUAACGGCCCACCUAGUCUUCGAUGGAUAGGGGUUCUGAGAGGAAGGUCCCCCACAAUGGAACUGAGGCCCGGUCCAAAAUCCUACGGGAGGCAGCAGUGAGGAAGAUUGGUCAAUGGGCGAGAGCCUGAACCAGCCAAGUAGCGUGAAGGAUGACUGCCCUAUGGGUUGUAAACUUCUUGUAAAAAGGAAUAAAGUCGGGUAUGGAUACCCGUUUGCAUGUACUUUAUGAAUAAGGAUCGGCUAACUCCGUG
rnacentral:rRNA from 1 species